GGUGGCUCAGUGGUAGAGCGCUUGCCUCGCAUGCAUCAGGCCCUGGGUUCAAUUCCUCAGUACCA
rnacentral:tRNA from 1 species